rnacentral:rRNA from 1 species
UUAAGCGACUAAGCGUACACGGUGGAUGCCCUGGCAGUCAGAGGCGAUGAAGGACGUGCUAAUCUGCGAAAAGCGUCGGUAAGGUGAUAUGAACCGUUACAGCCGGCGAUGUCCGAAUGGGGAAACCCAGUGUGAUUCGUCACACUAUCGUUAACUGAAUACAUAGGUUAACGAGGCGAACCGGGGGAACUGAAACAUCUAAGUACCCCGAGGAAAAGAAAUCAACCGAGAUUCCCCCAGUAGCGGCGAGCGAACGGGGAGCAGCCCAGAGUCUGAAUCAGCUUGUGUGUUAGUGGAACGGUCUGGAAAGUCCGACGGUACAGGGUGAUAGUCCCGUACACCAAAAUGCACAGGCUGUGAACUCGAAGAGUAGGGCGGGACACGUGGUAUCCUGUCUGAAUAUGGGGGGACCAUCCUCCAAGGCUAAAUACUCCUGACUGACCGAUAGUGAACCAGUACCGUGAGGGAAAGGCGAAAAGAACCCCGGCGAGGGGAGUGAAAAAGAACCUGAAACCGUGUACGUACAAGCAGUGGGAGCACCUUCGGGUGUGACUGCGUACCUUUUGUAUAAUGGGUCAGCGACUUAUAUUCUGUAGCAAGGUUAACCGUAUAGGGGAGCCGCAGGGAAACCGAGUCUUAACUGGGCGUUAAGUUGCAGGGUAUAGACCCGAAACCCGGUGAUCUAGCCAUGGGCAGGUUGAAGGUUGGGUAACACUAACUGGAGGACCGAACCGACUAAUGUUGAAAAAUUAGCGGAUGACUUGUGGCUGGGGGUGAAAGGCCAAUCAAACCGGGAGAUAGCUGGUUCUCCCCGAAAGCUAUUUAGGUAGCGCCUCGUGAAUUCAUCUUCGGGGGUAGAGCACUGUUUCGGCUAGGGGGUCAUCCCGACUUACCAACCCGAUGCAAACUACGAAUACCGAAGAAUGUUAUCACGGGAGACACACGGCGGGUGCUAACGUCCGUCGUGAAGAGGGAAACAACCCAGACCGCCAGCUAAGGUCCCAAAGUCAUGGUUAAGUGGGAAACGAUGUGGGAAGGCACAGACAGCCAGGAUGUUGGCUUAGAAGCAGCCAUCAUUUAAAGAAAGCGUAAUAGCUCACUGGUCGAGUCGGCCUGCGCGGAAGAUGUAACGGGGCUAAACCAUGCACCGAAGCUGCGGCAGCGACACUAUGUGUUGUUGGGUAGGGGAGCGUUCUGUAAGCCUGCGAAGGUGACCUGUGAGGGUUGCUGGAGGUAUCAGAAGUGCGAAUGCUGACAUAAGUAACGAUAAAGCGGGUGAAAAGCCCGCUCGCCGGAAGACCAAGGGUUCCUGUCCAACGUUAAUCGGGGCAGGGUGAGUCGACCCCUAAGGCGAGGCCGAAAGGCGUAGUCGAUGGGAAACAGGUUAAUAUUCCUGUACUUGGUGUUACUGCGAAGGGGGGACGGAGAAGGCUAUGUUAGCCGGGCGACGGUUGUCCCGGUUUAAGCAUGUAGGCUGGUUGUCCAGGCAAAUCCGGAUAAUCAAGGCUGAGGUGUGAUGACGAGGCACUACGGUGCUGAAGUAACAAAUGCCCUGCUUCCAGGAAAAGCCUCUAAGCAUCAGGUAACAUNAAAUCGUACCCCAAACCGACACAGGUGGUCAGGUAGAGAAUACCAAGGCGCUUGAGAGAACUCGGGUGAAGGAACUAGGCAAAAUGGUGCCGUAACUUCGGGAGAAGGCACGCUGGUGUGUAGGUGAAGUCCCUGCGGAUGGAGCUGAGACCAGUCGAAGAUACCAGCUGGCUGCAACUGUUUAUUAAAAACACAGCACUGUGCAAACACGAAAGUGGACGUAUACGGUGUGACGCCUGCCCGGUGCCGGAAGGUUAAUUGAUGGGGUUAUCCGUAAGGAGAAGCUCUUGAUCGAAGCCCCGGUAAACGGCGGCCGUAACUAUAACGGUCCUAAGGUAGCGAAAUUCCUUGUCGGGUAAGUUCCGACCUGCACGAAUGGCGUAAUGAUGGCCAGGCUGUCUCCACCCGAGACUCAGUGAAAUUGAACUCGCUGUGAAGAUGCAGUGUACCCGCGGCAAGACGGAAAGACCCCGUGAACCUUUACUAUAGCUUGACACUGAACAUUGAGCCUUGAUGUGUAGGAUAGGUGGGAGGCUUUGAAGCGUGGACGCCAGUCUGCGUGGAGCCAACCUUGAAAUACCACCCUUUAAUGUUUGAUGUUCUAACGUUGGCCCCUUACCGGGGUUGCGGACAGUGUCUGGUGGGUAGUUUGACUGGGGCGGUCUCCUCCCAAAGCGUAACGGAGGAGCACGAAGGUUAGCUAAUCCUGGUCGGACAUCAGGAGGUUAGUGCAAUGGCAUAAGCUAGCUUGACUGCGAGCGUGACGGCGCGAGCAGGUGCGAAAGCAGGUCAUAGUGAUCCGGUGGUUCUGAAUGGAAGGGCCAUCGCUCAACGGAUAAAAGGUACUCCGGGGAUAACAGGCUGAUACCGCCCAAGAGUUCAUAUCGACGGCGGUGUUUGGCACCUCGAUGUCGGCUCAUCACAUCCUGGGGCUGAAGUAGGUCCCAAGGGUAUGGCUGUUCGCCAUUUAAAGUGGUACGCGAGCUGGGUUUAGAACGUCGUGAGACAGUUCGGUCCCUAUCUGCCGUGGGCGCUGGAGAAUUGAGGGGGGCUGCUCCUAGUACGAGAGGACCGGAGUGGACGCAUCACUGGUGUUCGGGUUGUCAUGCCAAUGGCACUGCCCGGUAGCUAAAUGCGGAAGAGAUAAGUGCUGAAAGCAUCUAAGCACGAAACUUGCCCCGAGAUGAGUUCUCCCUGAGACUUUAAGUCUCCUGAAGGAACGUUAAAGACGAUGACGUUGAUAGGCCGGGUGUGUAAGCGCAGCGAUGCGUUGAGCUAACCGGUACUAAUGAACCGUGAGGCUUAACCUU